GAUCAAGCCCAAGCCUUGUUCUUCUUGCAAUGGAUCGGCGCCCACCAGACCCAAAUCGGCGCCCACCGGACCCAAAUCGGCACCCACCGGACCCAAUUGACUGAAUUUUUUGAUCUUUACUUUGGAGAUGCUGCUGUCAUAUGCAGCAACAUUGGUCGCAACUAUCUGAAGAGUGCCUACCGGUUUGUCAUUGAUACAUUCAAUCAAGGGCAUUGCUGGCAUGGAUCAUUUUCUGUACGCAAUUUCCUGGUCGCUGGUGAAUUAUUUAUGAUGGGCAUACCUGCACUCCACAAGACUCUUGGUUUUCAUGACCUCCUUAUUGAUCUUAGAGCCUUGAGCAAUGCUUUGCUGCCAUACUACUGUGAAGGAAACCAACCUGGAAAUGUGCCUGCACUAUUCACAGACCAUCUUCAUUAUAUUACCACUAAUGUCCCAUUAGGAAUUGGACCAUCAAUUGUGUUCCAAUCUAGGUUCAUUCGUCUGAUAUACCAUCACUUCUCGUUCUCAUUGCCGGAUCAUACGUAUUCGCUGUUUUCAGCACUUGCAACAGCAAAAAAUCAUCUUGGGCAGGAUGACGUACGCGCAUUUAAUAUUCUCCUUCGACAAGCUUGGAAUGAUUUACUGAUGGACCAGAUUGCAAUAGUUGGUCAAAAUUGGCCUGAUCAAGCCGAACAAAAUCUGAUCUUUUAUGAAAUUAUGUGGUGGCAGAGCAGGCAGGCAGGGGUGGUACCUCCAAGGAGAGGAUAUACAGGGGCCAAGGGGAGCUCUGCUAGGGGAGAUUCAGCAAGUGCCACCCCAUGGUGCAGGGCAUUGGCGAUGGAUGAUCAUUACUCCUGAGGGGGAAUGGGGCUGGGCGUGGCAGCCUGCUCAAGGGCAGUGGUUCUGGCCGACGGUUCCAGGUGAUACCCAGUGGCGAAUGACCAAGUGGCCAAAUGCUGCACCAGUGCUGCCUCUACUACCAUUAUCUGCCCAGGACCAGAAAAUGGAUAAUCCAGAGAAUGUGGGCCAUAUGGUAGGGAAGGAGUUUGGGAUGUUCUUUGCUCAUGCCACGGCCUUUGUCCUCCUAUUCUUAUAGUGUGGAACUCCAGAGUAUAUUGAUCAACCUCAUCAGAGAUACGAAGAGGCAAUGGAUAGUUAACUGCAGAGUCAUGUUGUUUUCUCCCUGCCGAGGCACAGCUGAGAGGAUUUUCGAUGUUCCAAUGCU